GAUGAACGCUGGCGGCGUGCUUAACACAUGCAAGUCGAACGAUGAAGCCCAGCUUGCUGGGUGGAUUAGUGGCGAACGGGUGAGUAACACGUGAGUAACCUGCCCUUGACUCUAGGAUAAGCCCGGGAAACUGGGUCUAAUACUGGAUAGGAACGUCUACCGCAUGGUGGGUGUUGGAAAGAAUUUCGGUCAUGGAUGGACUCGCGGCCUAUCAGCUUGUUGGUGAGGUAAUGGCUCACCAAGGCGACGACGGGUAGCCGGCCUGAGAGGGUGACCGGCCACACUGGGACUGAGACACGGCCCAGACUCCUACGGGAGGCAGCAGUGGGGAAUAUUGCACAAUGGGCGAGAGCCUGAUGCAGCGACGCCGCGUGAGGGAUGACGGCCUUCGGGUUGUAAACCUCUUUCAGUAGGGAAGAAGCGAAAGUGACGGUACCUGCAGAAGAAGCACCGGCUAACUACGUG
rnacentral:rRNA from 1 species